rnacentral:rRNA from 1 species
AGGAUGAACGCUAGCGACAGGCUAACACAUGCAAGUCGAGGGGUAACAGGGUAGCAAUACCGCUGACGACCGGCGCACGGGUGAGUAACGCGUAUGCAACCUGCCUAUAACUGGGGAAUAGCUCCCUGAAAGGGGGAAUUAACACCGCAUAACACUAUUGAUUCGCAUGGAUUGGUAGUUAAAUGUAGCGAUACAGGUUAUAGAUGGGCAUGCGUGACAUUAGCUAGUUGGUGAGGUAACGGCUCACCAAGGCUACGAUGUCUAGGGGUUCUGAGAGGAAGGUCCCCCACACUGGUACUGAGACACGGACCAGACUCCUACGGGAGGCAGCAGUGAGGAAUAUUGGUCAAUGGGCGCAAGCCUGAACCAGCCAUGUCGCGUGCAGGAAGACUGCCCUAUGGGUUGUAGACUGCUUUUAUAGUAGAAGAAACACAUCUACGUGUAGAUGUCUGCCAGUAUACUAUGAAUAAGCAUCGGCUAACUCCGUGCCAGCCGCCGC